CCUACGGGGGGCUGCAGUGGGGAAUAUUGGACAAUGGGGGGAACCCUGAUCCAGCCAUGCCGCGUGUGUGAAGAAGGCCCUCGGGUUGUAAAGCACUUUCAGUGAGGAAGAACGCCUGGUGGUUAAUACCCAUCAGGAAAGACAUCACUCACAGAAGAAGCACCGGCUAACUCCGUGCCAGCAGCCGCGGUAAUACGGAGGGUGCGAGCGUUAAUCGGAAUUACUGGGCGUAAAGCGCGCGUAGGUGGCUUGAUAAGCCGGUUGUGAAAGCCCCGGGCUCAACCUGGGAACGGCAUCCGGAACUGUCAAGCUAGAGUGCAGGAGAGGAAGGUAGAAUUCCCGGUGUAGCGGUGAAAUGCGUAGAGAUCGGGAGGAAUACCAGUGGCGAAGGCGGCCUUCUGGACUGACUCUGACACUGAGGUGCGAAAGCGUGGGUAGCAAACAGGAUUAGAUACCCCUGUAGUC
rnacentral:rRNA from 1 species